GUACCUAGUGAAGGAGAAGAUCUGCUCCCAGGAGCCUUUCUUCACCUCAGGCAUUUCAUUUGUACUUCAGAUAUCUUACAAAUUAAAGAGAUGGGGUUUGAGCUUUACUUAGUGACACUGCAUCUGCUUAGCAAAACUAAGGCUCUCAGUUCAUUCCACAGGACUGGAAACAAAAGGUCAUGCCUACCUCCAUUCCUACCCAGAUUCAUCUUUCAGAUGAAGAAAGUGACACAUCAUGAUUGCAUUUGAAUCCAAACUCAUAAACUUCUUAAGUGCUGGAACAAAUAUGAAAAUCAGGUCUCUCAGAAUAUUAAGUGGAUGGUGGAUACCCUUCAACUGUAUGUGAUGAGCUGCUAUUCAUUGUCUUGCAACAACAAAGAAAAGAAACAGAGAACUGAGCUGCACUUUCAAAACAGGCAAGGUAAUUGAAAAAGCAGAUAAAAAGUCGAAAGUAAUAACAAAAGAAGCCUGUCUGCAUAUUGAGAUGUAAUCCACCUCGCCUGAUCAAUUAUUCUUGAAAUGAGAACAGAAUCCCAUGACUCUUAGUUUGAUACCUUGAACUUCUCUGACUUCAUUCUUGGCACUACACGAGAUUUACAGAGACCAACCUCAGUGUGUCAUGGAGGUGUUCUGAAGAUCCCAGUCCAAAGACCUCUCUCCUUUCCAAAGGAUAAGGUUGUGAAUGUGCUCCCAUGGACAUCCGUUCAGUAUUCUGAGGCUGGAGAUUUCUUUUACCCAGGUUUCUCUUCCCCUAUUGACUGUGAGAAAUUUUAGGAUGCGGAAUUGAAAUGAUACUUCUGCCAAUGAACAAGGCACUCAGUUGGUUCAUCAUAGGGUUUGGUUCCAGUAUUCACAUGGUUGUUACGUUCCUAGCUGGAUGCAGGAUUGGGGAGACACAGCAACAGGUCCUCAAUGUCUCUCCUUUUAUAUUCAUGAUAAUGGCGAUGAAUACCUGUAGCAAUCACACCUUGGUUGUUCUGAACAUCCUGUGUCAAGCAGUCAAGAGGAUGAUGGGCCAAUACCUUAACUCUGACUUUUCCUCACAGAAGAACUUGAUUCAUAAAACUCAGAGUUCAUGUAACGAGGACAUAUAGCCAUCAGAGACAACUGUAUAAAUCACAGCUUUGUGUACGGUGUCAGCAGUCCCAGCAAAUGCAAGAGCAGCUAGUCAACAAAGAGCUUGAAUAGUACAAAAUGGGGAACUUUGAUAAAUCUGUUGUGUUUUUUGAAACCAAGCUGAGGAAGAUUAUGCUAUCUCAUCACAGAUUGCUGUUUUCAAUUUCAACAACAAUACACAACAGUUUGAUUCUCUUUCUUCAAUUUAGGAAGACGGAGAAAGUCAUUAUGCUAACAUUGGAAAACUUUAGAAACAAAUCACAACGAUGAUAAGUAUAUGCAAUUUUCAUAGGCAUCCUUCCGAAUGCAAAGCACAGAAGAAAAAGAUCAGAAGUCACCCAAGAAACACUGAUGCUGCCAAGAUGUAGGCAGAAUGCAAGCAGAAUGGCUGUGUGAGGCUGAGAAGACAAAUAAGAUUAACUCAGCAAGGUUGGGAUAAAUAGUUCACAAACAGCAAAAAGCCUGAUCAAACAAGAUCAAGAGCAGGUGGCUCAUUCUAAAGGUCCAAAGGAAUGUGAUUUUACGUUCUAUGAUGGCUAUGGCGUUUAUCCUCCACCCUCUCUAUUCUUGGACAGUCUCCUCAUAGAAGCACAAAGACGAUGUUUGUCUGCCACCCUCUCAGGUUCAGACCUCUCUAUGCAGUCUUGGCUGUCCUGGAAAUUAUGGAGUAGAAAUGGCAGGCCUCAAACUCACAGACAUUCUCCUCCUGCAGUCUCCUGAUUCUUGGCAUUAAAAGCCUGAGAUUAAAAUCAUUCCUGAACAAGUGGU
rnacentral:lncRNA from 1 species